rnacentral:rRNA from 1 species
AUUGAACGCUGGCGGCAGGCCUAACACAUGCAAGUCGAGCGAGCGGCGGACGGGAGAGUAAUGUCUGGGAAACUGCCUGAUGGAGGGGGAUAACUACUGGAAACGGUAGCUAAUACCGCAUACCAUCAGAUGUGCCCAGGUGGGCUUAGCUAGUGGGUGGGGUAAAGGCUCACCUAGGCGACGAGCCCUAGCGGGGCUGAGAGGAUGAACAGCCACACUGGAACUGAGACACGGGCCAGACGCCUACGGGAGGCAGCGUUGGGGAAUAUUGCACAAUGGGCGCAAGCCUGAUGCAGCCAUGCCGCGUGUGUGAAGGAGGCCUUCGGGUUGUAAAGCACUUUCAGCGGGGAGGCGUUACCCGCAGAAGAAGCACCGGCUAACUCCGUGCCAGCCGCCGCGGUAAUUC